UGCCUGUGAAUCCAGACUAUUGACUACAUUUAAUGUCAAAUACCAGUUGGAAUUAGCUCUUCUCAGGAAGAGAAGAAGGUAUGGGGUAGAGAGGUAUGAUCUGUAAGCUACAGGCUUUAGCAGGGAAGCCAGUUAUAGUGUGAAAUGUACCAGGAAAGUGGGGGAAACACUCACUUUCUCAUGGAAGUCCAAAAAUAAGACUGAGAUUCCAAAUAAUGUUGGAGAAUUACAGCUGGAAGAGCGAUACCUCUGACCAACACAAGGCCUUUUCGAAUGAAGAAACAAUAAUGCUUAGAUUUCAGCAAACCUCUCUUGGAAGAAGAACCUUGGGCCUCCUGCUCAAGAUGCUGGGAAACAACUGUGAUGGAGUGGAACAGAGGACAGAGAUAGAAAUGUCGACUUUAUGAUAAAUGCUCAUGGAUAACCACUGCAACCACUCAACCUUAUGGUCUCUCUGCCUUUUUGACUUCCUUUUUUCUAAAUACAUUAGUUCAAAUGGUGGAUGUACAGAUACGUGGAAUGUUCCAAAUAUGUAAGUGCCAAGCACUGUCCUAGGUGCUGAGGAAUCCAUGAUGAGUAAGUCAGACACAGUCCUUGUCUUGAAUUUGCUUAUAGUCUAGCCAGAAUAGAGCAAACAAAAAUUUAAUUCUAGUUCUGCCACUAACAAGCUGUGUGACCUUGGAUAAGCCACUUUUCCACUGUCUUAUUUUAACCUCUAUCUAGUUCAGCAUUACCCCUAGAGGGGCACCAAUAGCUUUUGAGGGUGGUGGGCUACCAUCUACAUUGGUAUUUCACUAGUUCUUGUGCCUCUGUCUUCCUGCCAGUCAAUUAUUGUUUAAUUCCGAGUUAGGCCAUGCCAGCCCAGUGAAAAGGCUGUCUUCUCCACAUGGCCCCACCCAGGGACUCUUGGGGCCAAUUACUUCAACCCUUUCUCGAAAUUUGCUCUCCAAAUUAGCUCUUAUGUGCUCUGGCUAUGUGAGAGGGUCACAUCCAUUACCUCAUGGAUGUGAUGGCUCCAGCAAAGCCCCCAGGGAGCUACGCAGCCCAUUGCAACUUCCUCCAAGGGCUUUAGAGGAGUGGCGGCAAGAUGCUUUCCUCUGUAGUGUCACUGGUCCAUAAAAAGAAAAAAAUAAACCCAGAGUCAAAAGAUUCA
rnacentral:lncRNA from 1 species